rnacentral:rRNA from 1 species
UACGAAGGGGGCUAGCGUUGCUCGGAAUCACUGGGCGUAAAGCGCACGUAGGCGGAUUGCUAAGUCAGGGGUGAAAUCCUGGAGCUCAACUCCAGAACUGCCUUUGAUACUGGCGACCUUGAGUCCGGGAGAGGUGAGUGGAACUGCGAGUGUAGAGGUGAAAUUCGUAGAUAUUCGCAAGAACACCAGUGGCGAAGGCGGCUAUCUGGACCGACAUUGACGCUGAGGCGCGAAAGCGUGGGGAGCAAACAGG